UAGUUCCCAGUGAUAAAUGUAUCGAGUGAUGAAAGAGUCGACGGUGACAUUUUAAAGUCUGAUUGGCGUGGACCAUCGGAAUGAAGAUGACUGCAGGAAUGGUAUGUUUGAUUAUUGGCCUAUCAAACAUUUUCAAGUCAUUUGAUGAUGCCACCACUUGGGAUAGUAAGCUGCAAAUAGAGACUUGUACUCAGCACUUAUUGCCUUUGAAAAGUAAGGGAUCCUUUUGACACUGAAUCUCAGUUUAUACGGUCUCAUUGGAGUAACCCGUCUCAAGCAUUUAGCAAUGGGAUUGGAACCUGCGACGUGUGACUGUCAUCAGAGUACUAAAUUUGAUUCCAAGCAUGAUCAUGAUUUGCCAGAAGAGCAUCUGUUAGGGGAUGACAAGGAAUAAACAGCAUAAUGAAAUUGAAACAUUCAUGUGAAACAGUCUUAGUUUAUGAAAAUGAUUUUAAAUAAAUUAUAUUUAAAUUUUGAUUUGAGAAACAUACAUAAAUCCACAAAUAUGAACAAAUCAAUUGCUUUCAGUUUUUCAAGAGAAAUAGAUUUUGUUACAGAAUCUAUCUUUAGUUUGGAAUAAAUAUUCUUUUUAAGUAUGUGUCAGAUCUUGCAUGUUAACAUCUGUAUUGAGGUCUUCCGUUUCCAAGAGAAGACAUACCAAUUCUAAUAGUUAAGGUGAUAAAGGUCUGUUAUAUGUGUAUUUUUACAGUAUAAUUGAUUGAUUGAUUGUUUACUGUUUAACGUCCCUCUCCAGAAUAUUUCACUGAUAUGGAGACGUCACCAUUGCCGAUGAAGGGCUGCAAAUUUAGGCCUAUGCUUGGCACUUAUGGCCUUUGAGCAGGGAGGGAUCUUUAUCGUGCCACAGCUGCUGUGACACGGGGCCUCGGUUUAUACGGUCUCAUCCGAAGGACCGCCCCAUUUAGUCGCCUUUUACAACAACCUAGGGGGUACUGAGAACCUAUUCCAACCCGGAAAGGUUUUUGCUA